UACGGAGGUGGCAAGCGUUGCUCGGAAUCACUGGGCGUAAAGGGCGCGUAGGCGGCCAUUCAAGUCGGAGGUGAAAGCCCAGGGCUCAACCCUGGAAUUGCCUUCGAUACUGUUUGGCUAGAGACCGGAAGAGGUAAGUGGAACUGCGAGUGUAGAGGUGAAAUUCGUAGAUAUUCGCAAGAACACCAGUGGCGAAGGCGGCUUACUGGUCCGGUUCUGACGCUGAGGCGCGAAAGCGUGGGGAGCGAUCCGG
rnacentral:rRNA from 1 species